rnacentral:lncRNA from 9 species
GCCGGCGUUUGAGGCGUUGGGCGCGGGUUGCUUCCGUGGCUGGGCGCGGCUGACAUCUGCAAGGCGCCGGGGAGAAUGGGGUCAGGCAGGCAUCGUGGCCGGGGCUCGUGAUGGAAGGCUGACAAGAGACAGGCCAUGACUCCCGCAGGCGUGAGUGGACGCCGGUAGAGGCACGACGGGAGCUCGGCGCCGCCGUCCGUCUGCGAGAGCUCCCCGGGUGGCCUUGCCCGGUGGCCGGCAACGUGCCCGCCCGCUGCGGAUGCUCGGAAGGCCUGGGAUCGCAGAGCCGGGAGGGACGGGCGUGGGCGAGAAGAAUGUCACCCCGUUCGUCGCCGUUCUGCGGCCAACUUGUGCUUGUUUUCCGCGAGAGAGCUUUAUUGCUAUACUUGAAAAUGCAAACAAAGUUUGUGCAUGCAUUCAGGCCGGGUCGUUUUCACCUUCAUAUUCAGGAGACAACCCGGCCCGCUGGUCUACCUAAGUCAAAGUGGGUUCAUGGCAACGAAGCUUGCAUCCCGCUCUGCUGCUUGAGGUCCGUGACAGGAAACGUUGUCGUGUCGGCUUGGCCGCUGUGCUCUGUCAGAAGUGUCUCUUGAGUCAAGCCUGGUUUCCCCUGGUGAAGAAAACUGCAAGACGACUUCCUGCCGCGGUGCAGGGGACUGAGAGAGCCUGAUGCUGGCGGCUCCGGUUGUCGCUGCCGAGGUGGAGGUUCAAUCCCUGGCCGGGUGCAGUGGGUUAAAGGAUCCGGCGUUGUCUCAUCUUCAAACCCUGGCCCGGGAACUUCAUGCGCUGCCGAGCAGCUGUUACCCAAAAUAAAAACAAAAAAAAAAA